rnacentral:rRNA from 2 species
UCAGCGCUCUUAGCUUGAUGUGUUAGCAUGGAAUAAUGAAAUAUGACUUUAGUCCUAUUUUCGUUGGUUUAGGUACUUCAGUAAUGAUGAAUAGAAACGGUUAGGGGCAUUUGUAUUUGGUCGCUAGAGGUGAAAUUCUUGGAUUGACCGAAGACAAACUACUGCGAAAGCAUUUGACCCGGGACGUUUUCAUUGAUCAAGGUCUAAAGUUAAGGGAUCGAAGACGAUUAGAUACCGUCGUAGUCUUAACCACAAACUAUGCCGACUAGAGAUUGGGCGUGUUUAUUAUGACUCGCUCAGCAUCUUAGCGAAAGUAAAGUUUUUGGGUUCUGGGGGGAGUAUGGGACGCAAGGCUGAAACUUAAAGAACUUUGACGGAA